UGGGUGGAUGAGUGGCGAACGGGUGAGUAAUACGUGAGUAACCUGCCCUUGACUCUGGGAUAAGCCUGGGAAACUGGGUCUAAUACUGGAUACUACAUUCUCUCGCAUGGGGGUGUGUGGAAAGGGUUUUACUGGUUUUGGAUGGGCUCACGGCCUAUCAGCUUGUUGGUGGGGUAAUGGCCUACCAAGGCGACGACGGGUAGCCGGCCUGAGAGGGUGACCGGCCACACUGGGACUGAGACACGGCCCAGACUCCUACGGGAGGCAGCAGUGGGGAAUAUUGCACAAUGGGCGAAAGCCUGAUGCAGCGACGCCGCGUGAGGGAUGACGGCCUUCGGGUUGUAAACCUCUUUCAGCACGGAAGAAGCGAAAGUGACGGUACGUGCAGAAGAAGCGCCGGCUAACUACGUGCCAGCAGCCGCGGUAAUACGUAGGGCGCAAGCGUUGUCCGGAAUUAUUGGGCGUAAAGAGCUCGUAGGCGGUUUGUCGCGUCUGCUGUGAAAGCCCGGGGCUUAACCCCGUGGUGUGCAGUGGGUACGGGCAGACUAGAGUGCAGUAGGGGAGACUGGAAUUCCUGGUGUAGCGGUGAAAUGCGCAGAUAUCAGGAGGAACACCGAUGGCGAAGGCAGGUCUCUGGACUGUUACUGACGCUGAGGAGCGAAAGCAUGGGUAGCGAACAGGAUUAGAUACCCUGGUAGUCAUGCCGUAAAA
rnacentral:rRNA from 1 species